rnacentral:rRNA from 1 species
GACGAACGCUGGCGGCGUGCUUAACACAUGCAAGUCGAGCGGUAAGGCCUUUCGGGGUACACGAGCGGCGAACGGGUGAGUAACACGUGGGUGAUCUGCCCUGCACUUCGGGAUAAGCCUGGGAAACUGGGUCUAAUACCGGAUAUGACCUCCUAUCGCAUGGUGGGUGGUGGAAAGAUUUAUCGGUGCAGGAUGGGCCCGCGGCCUAUCAGCUUGUUGGUGGGGUAAUGGCCUACCAAGGCGACGACGGGUAGCCGACCUGAGAGGGUGACCGGCCACACUGGGACUGAGGCACGGCCCAGACUCCUACGGGAGGCAGCAGUGGGGAAUAUUGCACAAUGGGCGAAAGCCUGAUGCAGCGACGCCGCGUGAGGGAUGACGGCCUUCGGGUUGUAAACCUCUUUCAGCAGGGACGAAGCGAAAGUGACGGUACCUGCAGAAGAAGCACCGGCUAACUACGUG